rnacentral:rRNA from 1 species
GUGCCAGCAGCCGCGGUAAUACGUAGGGUGCGAGCGUUAAUCGGAAUUACUGGGCGUAAAGCGUGCGCAGGCGGUUUUGUAAGUCAGAUGUGAAAUCCCCGAGCUCAACUUGGGAAUUGCGAUUGUGACUGCAUCGCUAGAGUACGGCAGAGGGGGGUGGAAUUCCACGUGUAGCAGUGAAAUGCGUAGAUAUGUGGAGGAGCACCGAUGGCGAAGGCAGCCCCCUGGGCCUGUACUGACGCUCAUGCACGAAAGCGUGGGGAGCAAACAGGAUUAGAUACCCUGGUAGUCCACGCCCUAA